rnacentral:rRNA from 1 species
CCCAGUGGUAAUACUAAAAGGGUAACACCCGUUCCCAUUCCGAAUACGGAAGUUAAGCCUUUUGAGGCCGAUGGUACUGCACCGGUAACGAUGUGGGAGAGUAGGAAGUCGCUGGGG